UAGUGUGUGUAUGUAUAUAUGUAUAAAACAACCAGGAGUACAAAAGUUAUACUGUAUUUUUCUAGAUAUCCAGAAAUAUUUCAGUUUUGCAGUACAUAAGAACAUGAACAGUUUCCUGAACCAGUCAAGUAAAAGAGAUUUGAAAAAACAUUAAUAGCAGUUUGCAUAUUUUUUUAGGUUCUAGCAAUAUUGUGAUGAUGAAGAGAAACUUGAAAACAAAUGGAAUGAGGAGAAUGGGAGAAAGACAGCAACGAAAAUGGAAGUGAAAGUUAAGUGUUAAUGUCUGACAAGAAGAAACACAUUGCCGAUAACAGUGCUGGUUUUUAUACUUCCAAUGGAAAGGGUAGUGGGUAGGUGUAUGAAUUCCCCACUUAUUCCUGGGGACCAUCCUUCUAUGAACAUCCUAUGUAUACUCAAGCCCAUAAGCAUCACGCAUUUACACUUCCAUACAAAAGUAUUAUGUUGUUGCUAGAACAAAACAGUGGCUGGCAGAAAUGGCAGAGCACCAGACACAUGUCUUUUUAAAUGUUUUAGGGAGAAAACAAAGGGGAGCCCCUUUGACCAUCUUCAGAGAGACUGAGGGAGAAGAAAGGUUAAAGACCUGACCUAAAUGCUUGCAAAAGAGCAGAAUCUGCAAAAGGUACCUGAUGACCAGUUAGGGUUGUUAAAAGAGACAGGUUAAGCUGACCAUCAAGAAUAAAAAUAGCACCUUCAUUCAAGUUCCACAGUUUCUCUCAAUCAAAUUCCACUCACAAACACUUUGGUCAACCCAACUCUGUGGUAGGCAACAACACUUGCCCAGGGUAUCUCUCACAGUGCAAUCAAGCCUAAAACCAUGAAGGAAUUAGCAGCAGGGUCUUUAAUCCUACAGCCCUUAAUGUUUUGUAAUGUAUACACAUUCUGGGGGUCAACAAACUAAAGAUAAGUCCUAGGGUUAAUUUGAAUAAAAAGGGAGGGAGUUCAGUGUAAGCAGAUCCUACAGAGUAAAAAAAUCUUCAUCAUCAUAAAACUAAAUCUUGUGUCCUUUUUUUAUAAUACCAUUCCCAUCAAGAACACUGAACCAACCCCAAUACAUGGCUGGUACUUUAUUUUAUUGACCUUAGAAGGGGAAAUGGCAAAUUAGUCCUUGGAUAGAUUUCAGCUGAAAACAUAAAGAAAUGUAAAUAAUGCAGCAGGAAUUUUGUCUUCAGAAUAAUUCAGUCUCAAUCAUUGCUCCCCCCCUCCACCCAUUUUCUACAAAUCACCUCACUAAACAAUAAUACACUGAUACUCUCUCUCUUUCCCUCUCUUCCCCCCCUCUCUCUAUAUAUAUAUAUAUAUACACACACACACAUAUAUAAGAAAUAAUUGAGAUUCAGUUGAAUUAGGUACUUAAGUUGAACCAGCAAAUCAGUCCGGUUUUAUCUGCACAGCUUAAAGAUGAAUAGAAUAAAACUAAGCAAUGGCGUAUCAAGAAGUACGAUUGUUUCAAGCAACUCCAUUUAAUUGAAU
rnacentral:lncRNA from 1 species